rnacentral:tRNA from 2 species
CGGGAUGUGGCUCAGCCUGGUUAGAGCGCAGCACUGGGGGUGCUGAGGUCGCAAGUUCGAAUCUUGUCAUCCCGA